rnacentral:rRNA from 1 species
GCUCAAAUUUGAAAUCUUCAAGGUUUUACCUUGACGAAUUGUAGUUUAAAGAAGUGUUUUCUGUUGGUGUUUUGGUAAAAGUUCUUUGGAAUAGGACAUCAUAGAGGGUGAGAAUCCCGUAUUUGACCAUUACUUCCAGCGUUGUGAUACACUUUCAAAGAGUCGGAUUGUUUGGGAAUGCAGUCCAAAAUGGGUGGUAAAUUUCAUCUAAAGCUAAAUAUUGGCGAGAGACCGAUAGCGAACAAGUACCGUGAGGGAAAGAUGAAAAAGAACUUUGAAAAGAGAGUUAAACAGUACGUGAAAUUGUCAAAAGGGAAGCGUUUGACACCAGUGUUGUUUUCUCGAAAAUCAAUUAAAAAAAGUUGGAUUUUGUAUUGUUAAGACCUUAUCAGCUUACUGUACUCUUUUCUUGCUUUUUUUAAUGCACUUUUCGUUUAACAAG